rnacentral:sRNA from 1 species
CAAAGCCGGUGAGAAUCCAAUUUCCAAGGAUUCCAUCUCGUAUCAAGAGACAGACUCUCGAGGAAAGGUCGCUGUUGUGGCCUCCCAGGACAGAUCAGGGGUUUGUGGCGCACAGGGAUCUGCCUCUAAGAGCCGAGUUGAUACAACCCAAGGAACACCACCAAAGUCAAAUUUCCACAACGAUGGCUUGCAACCAUCUCCUGUCAGUUUCUCCCUCCAACCAGCAGCUCAACAGGAACUGAGGCCCUAAAUAUUGGCUCUCGCCACUCCGACAAGCUUAGUAACGCCAUUAAUAUUGGCAAGAGAGCUACGUGAGGAUCUCAUGUGCGUCAUCCGGCGCAUCUCUUGUCGUUCCUUGAGUCCUUGGAGCAUUCCAUCGAAGAACGGCCCGAGCCCCGAACCACCGGGAUUCCGGGAUCCCGGGCUGAAUCCCCCCAUGCGCCUCUG